UCUGGGGUCCAGCAGGGCGGCUGACAAGGCUCUUCCCUCCCGCAGGCAUCCAGCCCCAGCACGGCUGCUCGGGCCCAGCCACGCACCCCCAGUGAAGACACACAUGCUGGCAAGUCCUCAGCACCAGCACGGGCUGCCAGUCGUCACCAUUUCAUGUUGAUGACUUGAGUGUUGCUACAGGUGUUCUGGGACUUGCCUGUUGUUGCUGAGCGCUGUUCCCUGGCGUGUGCACGGUUGCUGGCUGGGCUACUCCAGACACAGAGUAGCUGCAGCGUUCUGAUGGCUCCAGCAGAGUCUGACAGUUCCUUCCCUCCACAACUUCCUCAAGCCAUACGGAUAUGAGAGAGAAAAAGUGCGCUGAAGAGCUUUGUGACCCACCUAACGUUGUCCCAAGUAAUCAAAUCUAAGGAAAGUGGAUUUUGACACCACCGCGCCAGCUGGAUUUGUAUUCACAGGAAUAGGCUUUUUUUGGUCCAAGAAAAGCUACGGGUCCCUGGCACAACAGCCCACCCACAGGUAGAUCGGUUACUGCUGAGGUAGCUGGCAUAGAAGGGCCAUUAAGAUGAUCCAUUAAGCUGAUUGAAGUGGCUCCCUUGGAACAGCGCGGUCCAUCAGGACUUACUAUAAUGACAGGGCAGAGAAGCACGAAAGCAACAAAGAAAACACCAGAAACUCCUGUCACCAUUUAAACAGGCCAGCAGCUGUCGAAGGCGGAGGAGCACACAUGUGCCGACUACUCCAGGCAGUUGAACAACUGUCCACCCCUACGAGGAAUAUCCUUAUCCUUACUUCACACGUGUUACCACAUCAACGAUGGCCCAAACAAAUGAACAGCAGCAACAAAACAAAGUCAGAGAAGGGCCUCCAGGAAGACCCCAGGGCAGGGAGAGAAGGAAUGCUUUCUGCAGGGAGGUACAGAGCAACCGUGUCUGCCACACACUGCAGAACCUGUCACUCAGCAAGCAGGUGAAAUGUUUAUGCUAACUGCAAAUAUACUAAAAGUAUAUUAGUUCCUCAACAAAUUCAGACAAACUCUACUACCUUUGGCAAUCGUACACGAAAUCGUGAAGUAUCAUAACACUGAAGACAUCUUUGUUCUUUUCCUCUCUGAAGAGUUUUGUUCUUCCCUAUAUGUCUCAUUCCAGAAUAAUUCCAGGAUAACUGGAGAAUCUUGGCAACCAUUAGAAAAUCCACUAUCAUAAUGAACUGACUUUCCACCAUAGAAAAGACAAGGAUCAACAGAUGUUGGCCUAGCAUCUCCAAAUUUAACUAGACUCACCUGGCCCUCAGAUUUUAUAUGAAACAGACCCAAAUCAAGAGGGCUCCUGACCGUCACCAUCCUUGUUAAGGAAGCCUCCAUACCAUUAAAGCUGUGAUAGGCUGGGUCUGAAAUAUUAACACCUCUACGCCUUUGUAUCAGCAUUAAAAAUAACUACUGGUUGCAGAUUUUAAUUAGAGACAAACUCUUUGUGUAAUUGCUUUUUCCUCACACACUGAAUCUGGGCUGGUUUUGUGAAAUGCCCAGUAAUGCUGCCCGAGUUCCAGCCUAGAAGCUUCCACUCUGACCCUUUCCAAUGCUGCCCCGAGACCACCAUGGAAAGCCUGCGCUAACCGUCUGGAAGAUACCAGGCCAGGUGAAGAGAACUAAGGCACCCCAAUUAGUGACAUCCUGGACCAGCCAACUCAAGGGCAACCCAGGGGCAGCUGAAGCAGGCCCAACCCAUGAACUCAGCUAAGAUUAGUCCAAAUGGCUGAUCGCCAGAAUUAUCAGCAAACAAGUGAUUAUUGUUUUAAGCCACUUUAUUUUGGGGACAGGAUGUUUUGCAGCGAUAGGAAACUGAUACACCGUGCCUAGAGAUGACCUAGAGACUGAGCUACACAACAGGAGCAGCUCUAAGAGGUUAAGAAAUUUAAAGUAUAACUUCAGAAUGUAAUUUAUUCUAUAUAUAAAACGAACACCACCUCUAAAAAGUUCAUUACAAGAAUUUUCAGAAAAACUGGUUCAGUUCUUCAAACUGUGAAAGGCAGCAUGGUUUAUAAAAACAAGCCAUAUUUACAUUUUCUUUGAACUAUUCCCCCCACCCCCACCAUGCCUUCAGCAUCACCCCAGAGUGGAUGGAUGAGUGCUCUCAAGGAGGCAACUCAGGAGGCACCCCCGCCAGCCAGUCAGAUGAGGGGGGAAGAGCAGCCU